rnacentral:sRNA from 1 species
GCAAUAGCGGCUUAAUAUGUGGGCGAUCGGCUAAACUCCCCUUUAAAAGAAAGGGGGUGACGCCAAUGGAAACGUUUCAGGCUCUUCAAUUAAUGUUCCUAUUUGGGAUGUUUAUUUUAGCGCUUCUGACGUUCAUCCAACGAAAAUAGAUCGCCCCACGCUAAGGUUGCGAUCUUUUUCGUCACCUCUUACUUAAGCCGACCGCCAUAUAGCGCGGCUAUUGCGAGACCGUGGACGUUAGAGCGUCUGCG